AAACCCUUGACUGAGUUGGUGUCA
rnacentral:siRNA from 1 species